ensembl:lncRNA
UAGAGACGUGAAAUGUAGGGUGGACACGCAUGGUCCGCGGAAGCUUCAGGCGGACUGCAGCAGGAUUGAUGAUCUUGAGAAUCUCAAAUGGGCCAGUGAACUUCUGGGCCAGUUUCUUUGAGUCGUCACGAAGGGGAAGGUCCUGGGUCGAUAACAAGACCUUCUGGCCCACCCGGUAAGUGGGCGCAGUGGAGCGUCGGCGGUUAGCAGAGGCGGAGUAUCUAGUCACUGACCGCUGGAGGUUGGCCCUGGCCUGGGCCCAGGUGCGCCGACAUUGGCGGAUGAAGGUCUGUACGGCUGGGCAGGAGACCUCCCUCUCUAGGGCUGGGAACAGGGGUGGUUGGUACCCAUGGGCGCACUGGAAUGGGGAGAGGCCGGUGGACGAGCUGACCAGUGUAUUGUGGGCGUACUCCACCCACAUUAGUUGUUUGGACCAGGUCGACGGGUGGCUGGAGACCAUACACCGGAGAGACGCCUCCAUCUCCUGGUUCUUCCGCUCCGUCUGGCCAUUGGACUGGGGGUGGAACCCUGAGGACAGGCUGGCCGUGGCCCCGAUGAGGGUGCAGAACUCUUUCCAAAAGACAGAGGUGAACUGUGGUCCCCGGUCCGAGACCACGUCCACAGGGAGACCAUGGAGUCUAAACACGUCGCGAAGGACCACCUCCGCAGUCUCUUUGGCCGACGGCAACUUAGGCAAGGAAAUAAAAUGCGCCAUCUUGCUGAACCGGUCCACCACCGUGAGAAUGGCGGUGUGCCCUUGAGAUGGUGGUAGGCCGGUUACAAAGUCCAGGGAUACGUGGGACCAGGGGCGGUGAGGGACGGGAAGCGGGUGCAGGAGUCCAGCCGGAGCCUGGUUGGAGGACUUGUUCCGGUUACAGACGGGGCAGGCUUUUACAAACUCCUGGACGUCUUUGUUCAGGGACUCCCACCAGAACCGGCGCCGGAGAAAUUCUCUGGUUCGCUGGAUCCCUGGGUGGCAGGUGAGAUGGGUACUGUGGCCCCACUGGAGUACCUCAGACCGGAGUUGCCUCGGGACAAAAGAGUCAGUUGGGUGGGCAGGCGCUGGGACCUGGCUGCUCCUCCAGAGCUGCCUGAACCCUCUCCUCGACUCCCCAGGUGAUGGCAGCCGCCAGGCGAGCCGGGGGAAGGAUGGUGACCGCCUCUGCAGUACCCUCCUCCUCCCCCUUCAGAAAUAGGCGAGACAGGGCGUCGGGCUUGACGUUGCGGCUACCUGGUCGAUAGGAGAGGGUGAAAUUGAAGCGGGUGAGGAAGAGUGACCAGCGGGCCUGCCUGGAAUUUAGUCUUCUGGCCGUCCUGAUGUACUCCAGGUUCUUGUGGUCGGUCCACACCAGGAACGGCUGUUUGGCCCCCUCCAGCCAGUGCCGCCACUCCUCCAGAGCCGCCUUCACUGCCAGGAGCUCUCGGUUGCCGAUGUCGUAGUUUCUCUCUGCGGGGUUCAGACGGCGAGAGAAGAAGGCGCAGGGGUGGAGUUUCUGGUCGUCGGCGGCCCGCUGCGACAGGACGGCCCCUACGCCAACAUCCGAGGCAUCCACCUCCACUACAAAUUGCCUCUCUGGGUCGGGCAUGCGCAGGAUGGGGGCGGAGGUGAAGCGGCUUGUUUCAGGCAGACUUGAUGACAGGCUGUGCUCCACCCCAGGAUGGACCCUGUCGCCCAGUCGAUGUGCGGGUUAUGACGGCGAAGCCAGGGGAACCCCAGGAGGAGCGGGAUCCGAGUUGAGUCCAGGAUGUGAAAAGAAAUCGACUCAUGGUGGUUCCCGGAGAGCAGCAUUUGGACAGGGACAGUCUGGUGGGUCACCAUUCCGAGGGCGUGACCAUCCAGGGCAUUGGCGGGCACGGGCUGAGGCAGAGGCACUCUCUCAAUCUCCAACUGCCGGGCUAACUCGCUGUUGAUAAUAGAUACAUCGGCCCCUGAGUCAAUG